UUUAGAAGUUCUCACAUCCAACUCCGUUGUUUCAUUCUGCAUUCUGAGGGAGAUAAUCUUUUUUUUUUCUUUUGAGUUUUAGAGGUGCUUCUUCAGACAAAAAACUCGAAAUUCCAACUUAAAAGUUGACAAAUGCACUGAGACAAGGAAUCCUGACGUACAGCUACAGUGUGGGAAUGCUUGCCAGGAGAGCCAUUCAUCUUGGAAUGGAGUUCCAGAUGGGGGCUGCUCUCUCGUGCGUCGUCUCUGAGAGCAGCUACAGCCAGCAGGGCCCACAAGUGCUGAGGCUGGCACUGGACACAGCUUGAGAUCCUGGGAUCUGGACCCUGGAGAUCUGGGAAAGUGGUCUCUACUUCCUGUUCUCUCCUUAGCUGCUUUGUCUUCUGUCCUGUGGCAGGAGAGUCCCGUGAAGGUACCAUGUCUCCUUUAGUCUGACUCCCUUCGUUUCCUGAAGCAACAUCACAUGGCAGAUCUAUGAAGUCAUGAGGUGCACAUACUCUGCCAUCAGUCGUGUGGAACCCUGCAUGAUUGGCACAGCCUACUCUCCAAUGGCUCCUUUCUGGAGGUUUAACUUCUGAAAUAGUUCUCCACUGCCUGCCUUCAGAC
rnacentral:lncRNA from 1 species